rnacentral:rRNA from 1 species
UACGUAGGGUGCGAGCGUUAAUCGGAAUUACUGGGCGUAAAGCGUGCGCAGGCGGUUUGCUAAGACCGAUGUGAAAUCCCCGGGCUCAACCUGGGAACUGCAUUGGUGACUGGCAGGCUAGAGUAUGGCAGAGGGGGGUAGAAUUCCACGUGUAGCAGUGAAAUGCGUAGAGAUGUGGAGGAAUACCGAUGGCGAAGGCAGCCCCCUGGGCCAAUACUGACGCUCAUGCACGAAAGCGUGGGGGAGCAAACAGGAUUAGAUACCCUGGUAGUCCACGCCCUAAACGAUGUCAACUAGUUGUUGGGGAUUCAUUUCCUUAGUAACGUAGCUAACGCGUGAAGUUGACCGCCUGGGGAGUACGGUCGCAAGAUUAAAACUCAA